rnacentral:siRNA from 1 species
UCAUAGCAAGGAGUCAAAGCA